CUUGCGGCUGUCUUAUCAUGCAGUCUAACGGCAGCACGUAGCUUGCUCUGCUGGCCAGUGGCGAACGGGUGAGUAAUAUAUCGCAACGUACCCUAGAGUGUGGGAUAACGUACCGAAAGUUACGCUAAUACCGCAUACUAUCUAUGGAUUAAAGUGGGGGAUCGCAAGACCUCAUGCUCGUGGAGCGGCCGAUAUCUGAUUAUCUAGUUGGUACGGUAAAAGCCUACCAAGGCAUCGAUCAGUCUCUGGUCUGAGAGGACGACCAGCCACACUGGAUCUGAGCCCGUUCCGCUCUCUACGGGAGGCAGCAGUGGGGAAUUUUGGACAAUGGGCGAAAGCCUGAUCCAGCAAUGCCGCGUGAGUGAAGAAGGCCUUCGGGUUGUAAAGCUCUUUUGUCAGGGAAGAAACGGUGAGAGCUAAUAUCUUUUGCUAAUGACGGUACCUGAAGAAUAAGCACCGGCUAACUACGUGCCAGCAGCCGCGGUAAUACGUAGGGUGCAAGCGUUAAUCGGAAUUACUGGGCGUAAAGCGUGCGCAGGCGGUUUUGUAAGUCUGAUGUGAAAUCCCCGGGCUCAACCUGGGAAUUGCAUUGGAGACUGCAAGGCUAGAAUCUGGCAGAGGGGGGUAGAAUUCCACGUGUAGCAGUGAAAUGCGUAGAUAUGUGGAGGAACACCGAUGGCGAAAGCAGCCCCCUGGGUCAAGAUUGACGCUCAUGCACGAAAGCGUGGGGAGCAAACAGGAUUAGAUACCCUGGUAGUCCACGCCCUAAACGAUGUCUACUAGUUGUCGGGUCUUAAUUGACUUGGUAACGCAGCUAACGCGUGAAGUAGACCGCCUGGGGAGUACGGUCGCAGAUAAACUCAAGGAUUGACGGGACCGCACAGCGUGAUGAUGUGAUAUCGAUGCACGCGAAAACUACUACCUGACAUGCUGAUCUGAGAGAUCAGAUGCUCGAAGAGACAGUACACAGUGCUGCAUGCCUGUCGUCAGCUCAGUCCUGAAUGGUGGGUUAGUCCGGCAACGAGCGCAACUGUCAUUAGUUGCUACCGAAGGUCACUCUAUGAACUGCUGUACAUCGAGAGUGGCAUGACUCAGUCUAUGUCUACGAUAGGCUCAACGUCAUCAAGUCCUCAUGGCCCUUAUGGGUAGGGCUUCACACGUCAUACAAUGGUACAUACAGAGCGCCGCCAACCCGCGAGGGGGAGCUAAUCGCAGAAAGUGUAUUGUAGUCCGGAUUGUAGUUUGCAACUCGACUGCAUGAAGUUGGAAUCGCUAGUAAUCGCGGAUCAGCAUGUCGCGGUGAAUACGUUCCCGGGUUUUGUACACACCGCCCGUCACACCAUGGGAGCGGGUUUUACCAGAAGUAGGUAGGUUAACCGCAAGGAGGGCGCUACCACGGUAGAUUCGGGC
rnacentral:rRNA from 1 species